AAAUAAAUAUUGAUCAAAAUGAAAAGUCGUGAAAAGAAAAAAUAAAAAUUAAUAUUAUAUAUGUGAAAAAAAAUAAGUGACAAAUGUGCCAGUGAGUAGUGCCCAGUGAGAAAUCGUCGCGCAAAAAAAAAAAUUUUUUCAGGUCGGGCUUUAGAUUAAUUACACAAGUGUUAAGUGGUAAUUUGUUGGCCUUUCGGUUUUGCGUGUGAAUAAAGGCUGUAUAAAAAGUGCGUAAAAAGUCCACAAGUGUGCGUUACCAGUGACGGCAAUUUAGUGGAUGGGUCACCCACAAGUAAUCCUUGGACCACGGCAAAGAAGGAGCGCCAUCAGAAUUUACGUAUGGAGCUCGCAUUUGGAUCAUCAUGGAGCGAGGGCGAAAUAUGGUAUAAUAUUUUAAUUAAAUUUUUAUUUAUAUUAAAGGUUCCGUUGUUGGGCAAUCAACAUCAAAAGCGGCUGUGCGUUGCAAGCAGGAUUUGCCGAAGCGAUCAUCAACAUAUGUGCUGAAGCACAGAAAAGCUGAUGUGACUACGACCAUCCCAUGUUGAAGCUAUUAGGGAUAUAGCCAACUAGAGGGAUAUCUCUAAUCACCUCGUUGCCGCUGCUAAGAGAUGUUUGUGUCAUCUAAGCUUUGAGUGACCUAGAGAAGCCUAUUCGAAUUUGUGGGACGAAUGUUGGGCAAAGCGGUGCUUACACUAAGGGAUAAAUUGAAGGAGCUAAAAGUGCAUUCGGUGCUAGAAAUCAACAUCACGUUAGGGCGGCACAAAAAGCGGUCGCCCAUGCAUGCGCGAUU